rnacentral:tRNA from 1 species
GCCUUCGUGGUGUAAUGGUCAGCACGCUGGGCGCGUAUUCUAAAGAUCCGUGGUUCGAGUCCUGGCGAGGGCA